UGUAUUAGAAAAUGCUGGAAAUUAGCCGUCGUUCGCCUUCGCCUUCGCAUGUGUCCCUGGAAAAUCUAAGCCGGCGGAUUAGCAUUGAGCAAGUUGGCGGAGAAGGAGAAAACAGAUGUUCCAAUCCGGCACCGUAUUUAUCGUUUAUCGAGGAAUCAAAGAAGAGUACGAGCAGGUCCGUCGCAUCAGCCGACAGCUGCAAGAAUCGUUAGGCACCCAAACCGAAGCAUCUCGUGCUGAAGGUGAAGGAACGGAUGUACCCCAGAUGGACAGCAUCGAAAGAUUGGAGACGCAGUUGCAGCAGCGGAGUGAGUCCAGAUUCAAUCGGGCAAGGUCAACUGGGUUAAAGAACACCUCGAACAGCCCGUGCCGGUGGCGUGUUCGUGUUAAAACAGAACGAGCUUCAGGGGGAUGAUUAACCGUUCACACAUCAAGAAGCUGCCCCGCAAGACGCUCAAGGUUCUGCGAAAGGUCGAUUUGUAUCGGUCCCAGGCAUCCGUUCCGUGUGGCGUUGAACGUGGCCCGUGCAGUUCAGAAGGAGUACAACCAUCGUACAAAGAUCAACAAUCAACUGGAAUCCACACCAAGGAGAAGCGUGAUGUUUAUGACGUGAAAAUACAUAAAAUAUAUGGAUUUUGGUCGUGUU